rnacentral:tRNA from 1 species
UGGGGUAUAGUCAAGUGGCUUAAGACACAUGGUUUUGGUCCAUGCAUUCGGGGGUUCGAAUCCUCCUACCCCAG